GGCUCUGUAGCUCAGUUGGUUAGUGCGCUGUACCGGAACCGCAGGGCCGCAGGUUCGAUUCCUGUCAGAGCCC